rnacentral:misc_RNA from 1 species
GAUAAUUUGCGGUAGUUAGCUCCGCUUGAAUGUAGGAAAUUUCAUGAGUUCCAACGAACACAUGAAACAUGAACCAUGUUUCAUAGUGGAUACCUGUUUCUACAAUUGAGAAUUAAACAUAUAUAACAUAAGGGGUAUUAGGCAUUGCAAGGCAGCAUCACAUGAAAUAAAUGGAAAGGAGAUUAAAAUGAAUUAACGGCAACCGAAAUGAUCACGCUUUCUGGGUACUGACGAACUGAUAUCCGAUAAAAUUCGUCAUCACUGUUACAUGACAUUAACAAAUAUGUCAAUUUUUAUACGAAAAAGGAGAAAAAUCCACAGAAAAGUACGGGAAUGUAGAAGACAUUAUACAUGAUUCGUGUCGCGCAACAUCAAUACGAUAUCAUCGACAUGUUCA